UGGCGAUGAUGAUAAAACUAAGGCUUGUUUCUCAAAACAUUCGCAGAUGCCGCCUAAGAGCUUUCGCACUGCCAGGCUUGAGAGCUAAUGCUGCUAAUUCCUUCCUUGGAUGUCUGAGCCA
rnacentral:snoRNA from 1 species